CCCAAGAGAUCGGGAUAACACCUGGAAACAGAUGCUAAUACCGGAUAACAACAGAUGAUGCCUAUCAACUGUUUAAAAGAUGGUUCUGCUAUCACUCUUGGAUGGACCUGCGGUGCAUUAGCUAGUUGGUAGGGUAACGGCCUACCAAGGCGAUGAUGCAUAGCCGAGUUGAGAGACUGAUGGCCACAUUGGGACUGAGACACGGCCCAAACUCCUACGGGAGGCAGCAGCA
rnacentral:rRNA from 1 species